rnacentral:rRNA from 1 species
UGGGGAAUUGUUCGCAAUGGGCGCAAGCCUGACGACGCAACGCCGCGUGGAGGAUGAAGAUCUUCGGGUCGUAAACUCCUGUCGAGCGGGACGAAUGCUCCGUGGGUGAAUACCCUGCGGGGGUGACGGUACCGCUACAGGAAGCCCCGGCUAACUCCGUGCCAGCAGCCGCGGUAAUACGGGGGGGGCAAGCGUUGUUCGGAAUUACUGGGCGUAAAGGGCUCGUAGGUGGCCAAUUAAGUCAGACGUGAAAUCCCCAGGCUCAACUUGGGAACUGCGUCUGAUACUGGUUGGCUUGAAUUCGGGAGAGGGAUGCAGAAUUCCAGGUGUAGCGGUGAAAUGCGUAGAUAUCUGGAGGAACACCGGUGGCGAAGGCGGCAUCCUGGACCGGUAUUGACGCUGAGGCGCGAAAGCCAGGGGAGCAAA